ensembl:lncRNA
AUCUCUGGUUGGGGAUCCCUCUCUUGUGGAGUUCUUUCUGCAAGCCUAGAUCUUUGGAGAUGACUCAAAUGAUGGAAAAUACGAGUCUUCAGAAUACAAAUUUAUGUGAAAGUUUUUGUCUUCAGGAAAAAAAAAAACCAUGAGGAAGUUAACUGCAGCAGCCCUUAUGAUAUUUUAAUAAAUAAGACUUUGGCAGAGGCCAGGAAAUUUGAAGUUAAUUUAACACUGAACCAGACCCCUGCAUCUGUGGGAAAGUGAUGCUGUUCUGCAGUUCUGGUGGAAGCCGCCUUCACUUCAUCUUUCCGAACUCUUUCCAGUAUCUUUUGUAGCAUUGCUAUAACUUGGACAAUUGUUGUUGUUUAAAUACAUGCCUUUGCUACUUCAAAUUGACUUUUCCGGGAAAGAGUUGGAUUAUAUUUCACCAGGGUCCUCUGCAGUCCUGAUUUGCAAGUCACUGUGAAUGUAACAGGAGCACACGCAUACAGUUAUUUGUGCUUAAUGAACGAGAUGAAACCUUGCUGCCUUCCUCCUCUCUCCACAGUUCCAGGCUCUCUUCAGCUGCUGUUUUUGUAUGUGCCUGGGCAGCAUGACCUGGACUUCCAGUAGCAGAUAGGCUCUGUUUUACUGUGUUGUUGUACAUUGUAGUAUGUUCUCCUCUGACGUUCCACGCAGAAGGAACUAAAAAUGACAUUUAGUAAAGUUCCCCAGGGAGUCACAAGGUUUGUCACAAGACAAAAGCAGUUUCCUUUGUUAGAAGCAGUAGCUAUGAGUCCAGUAUAAUAUAGUAGGGCCUCUGCAUUCAUUUUGGGAUUUGGAAGAGAAGAUCAGGAAAUGUUAUUAAACUACAGAGUCCAAGUCAUCUGCAGAAACGAAGACAUAGAUAUGCAGCUGUUUCAGGAGAAGGGAUCCUGAAAAGAGACCAAAGCCACUCAGCUAAGAUGGAAGCAGUUGUUCCUGGCAGUAGCAGCUUCUGAUAGCAUUUUUCACUUAUUAAGACAACUGUGAAACUAGCCACAGUGAGACUGCCUCUGUUUCUGUAUCUUCUUUGCAGAGCAGAUAACCUGUCAAGUCUGAGCUCAACCACACUCCAAACAGGCCCGGCCUGAGUAAGCUUUCUGUUUUCUUUGCUUCAGACAGUCUUCCAUUCAUCCU